rnacentral:rRNA from 1 species
GGUAGGUGUAGGCGGGGAGUUUAAGUUCAGUGGUGAAAUCUCCGAGCUCAACUCGGAAACUGCCAUUGAUACUAUUUAUCUUGAAUAUUGUUGAGGUAGGCGGAAUAUGUCAUGUAGCGGUGAAAUGCUUAGAUAUGACAUAGAACACCGAUUGCGAAGGCAGCUUGCUAAACAAUUAUUGACGCUGAGGCACGAAAGCGUGGGGAUCAAACAGGAUUAGAUACCCUGGU